AGUGGCGAACGGGUGAGUAACACGUGAGUAACCUGCCCUUGACUCUGGGAUAAGCCUGGGAAACUGGGUCUAAUACCGGAUAUGACCGUCUGACGCAUGUCAGGUGGUGGAAAGCUUUUGUGGUUUUGGAUGGACUCGCGGCCUAUCAGCUUGUUGGUGGGGUAAUGGCCUACCAAGGCGACGACGGGUAGCCGGCCUGAGAGGGUGACCGGCCACACUGGGACUGAGACACGGCCCAGACUCCUACGGGAGGCAGCAGUGGGGAAUAUUGCACAAUGGGCGCAAGCCUGAUGCAGCGACGCCGCGUGAGGGAUGACGGCCUUCGGGUUGUAAACCUCUUUCAGUAGGGAAGAAGCGAAAGUGACGGUACCUGCAGAAGAAGCGCCGGCUAACUACGUGCCAGCAGCCGCGGUAAUACGUAGGGCGCAAGCGUUAUCCGGAAUUAUUGGGCGUAAAGAGCUCGUAGGCGGUUUGUCGCGUCUGCUGUGAAAGACCGGGGCUCAACUCCGGUUCUGCAGUGGGUACGGGCAGACUAGAGUGAUGUAGGGGAGACUGGAAUUCCUGGUGUAGCGGUGAAAUGCGCAGAUAUCAGGAGGAACACCGAUGGCGAAGGCAGGUCUCUGGGCAUUAACUGACGCUGAGGAGCGAAAGCAUGGGGAGCGAACAGGAUUAGAUACCCUGGUAGUCCAUGCCGUAAACGUUGGGCACUAGGUGUGGGGGACAUUCCACGUUUUCCGCGCCGUAGCUAACGCAUUAAGUGCCCCGCCUGGGGAGUACGGCCGCAAGGCUAAAACUCAAAGGAAUUGACGGGGGCCCGCACAAGCGGCGGAGCAUGCGGAUUAAUUCGAUGCAACGCGAAGAACCUUACCAAGGCUUGACAUGAACCGGUAAUACCUGGAAACAGGUGCCCCGCUUGCGGUCGGUUUACAGGUGGUGCAUGGUUGUCGUCAGCUCGUGUCGUGAGAUGUUGGGUUAAGUCCCGCAACGAGCGCAACCCUCGUUCUAUGUUGCCAGCGCGUUAUGGCGGGGACUCAUAGGAGACUGCCGGGGUCAACUCGGAGGAAGGUGGGGACGACGUCAAAUCAUCAUGCCCCUUAUGUCUUGGGCUUCACGCAUGCUACAAUGGCCGGUACAAAGGGUUGCGAUACUGUGAGGUGGAGCUAAUCCCAAAAAGCCGGUCUCAGUUCGGAUUGGGGUCUGCAACUCGACCCCAUGAAGUCGGAGUCGCUAGUAAUCGCAGAUCAGCAACGCUGCGGUGAAUACGUUCCCGGGCCUUGUACACACCGCCCGUCAAGUCACGAAAGUUGGUAA
rnacentral:rRNA from 1 species